rnacentral:lncRNA from 1 species
AUUCGAUCCUUUUUGCCCCAACCCCCUUGUCUUCUUCCUCGCCGCUCCUCCCCUUAAACCCUCACCCAUGGCGGCCCGCCCAUGCUCCCGCGGCUACCCGAAACUCCGGCGUCUCCUCUCCUCUGCUGCCGCGGCGAACCUUCCCCUCCUGUGCUCCUAAAGGCGCAUGGCCGAGGCCCUCUCCCUGGUAGAUUUGGACGAAUGCCACCGGCCGGCCACCCCGUCUCCUCUCCCCAGCGAGAUCUAGGCUGCAUCCCCAAAGGCAACUGAAUACACUCCCUCUCCAACCCAAGCUAGCUUUGAUCCGGCGCCGUGCGGCCGGCGUCCCCAACAAUCGCGGCUUCCAACCCGUCGCCGCCCUCCCGCACGCUUGCGCCCUCCGAGAGCGUCGCGCGGCCCUGCAUUUCGUUUCGGGUAAGCCCUGAGACUUCGGAACAGACAACCAUCCACUUUAUGCGUCCUGUUUGCACGAUAUUUUUCUGAUCUUGUAAAUGCCACAAUUGCUAGUUCAGUACCUGCUCCUGUGCAGCGUUAGUGUUGGCGACUCAAAUUUGGAACAAGCCGUGCUAUUGUAGUGUAAGAAGUAAUAAAGCACAACAAGAGAGAGAAUACAAUACGUGAGUAUUAAAUAAAUAAAUGCAUCUCUCAUGGCCAUAGUGCAAUCUGUUUAGCAGGAAGAGAAAUCUGUUUGGCAACCAAGGCCAUCUUGCAUUGUAGCAGCAAGAGAUGGGACGACGUUGGGUAGGGGCGCCAAUGCGUGAGGGGAGGGGAUGGGAGAAAUGAAUUUGAGAGAGGGGAGAGUGACAGGAGAGAGUAGGGAUUCGGGGAGGAUAUACGGGGACUUGAGGGCUGUUAACCUACCUUGUACUUAGUAGUAGCGAGGGGUAAAAACCCGCACUACUACUACCAACUUAAUAGUAGCGCUGGUUUAUACCCCUCUUGUAGCCAGUUGUGACUCCAAAUGUCCGUAGUGUUCCCGUUCCCAACUCUGCGGAUGAUUCCUUGCUUUAGCAUAUCUCAUCCGUCGAGAAUGGCCCUCCAGAUUUGUGACGACCGACUUCCAAGCUCAGCAUCCAGGAAACCUGCAUCAGGGAAGUAGGCGGCUUUCAGGAUGCGCGAGCUCAACGACGUCGGCUUACUUAAGACUCGCCAGGCCUGUUGUGCAAGUAGAGCAAGGUUGAAGAUUUCCAUGUCACGGAACCCUAGGCCGCCCAGAUGUUUCGGCAAUUUCAUCACAUCCCAUGCCACCUAGCUAGGUUUCCGCUUCCCCGCCUUGCUCCUUCACGAGAAAUGCCGGAUUAUAGAUGUUAUGUUGUCACAAAGUCCUCUUGACGGUCUAAAACAAGCCAUGGAGUACACUGACAGCGCCUAGGCCACUCUUUGAUUAAAACUUCUUUGCUUGCGACUGAUAAAAGCUUCUCCAUCCAACCCUUGAUUUUCUCCCAAACCCUGUCCCUUAAGCACUUGAAUGUGUCUAUCUUGGAUUGACCCACGUCAGUUGGCAUGCCCAAAUACCGUUCGCUUACUGACUCAUUAUGGAAGUUAAGAGUCCCUUUGAUACUGUCUCUCAACUCCUGCGGGCAUCCCUUGCUAGAGAAAAUAGAUGGAUUCAUGAGAUUCAUUCUUUGCCCUGAUGCAUUGCAGUAUGUUUCCAACAGGUUUGAUACCUCCAUGGUUCCCUCAUUACUAGCUUUGAACAGCGGCAGGCUAUCAUCCGCAAAUAGGAGGUGAUUAACCGAUCGGGCACUCGGAGCCACCUUGACCCCAUUGAGCGCGGAUGAUUGAGAACUGAAUUUGAGGAUGCACGAAAAGCCCUCUAACUACGAUUAGAAAUAGAUAUAAAAAUAUUGGAUCAUUCUCUCAAAUACCCUGCGAAGUGUUGCAAGACUCGAGUUUCUCGCCAUUCUCUCCCGUGGCUAAUCAACCGGAAUUUCCUAUUCGCCGCUCGCUGCGGAAAAUAGUCACCGCUUCGCACACGGGGUGCGAGCGAGCGACUGGGUUUGGGCCGGCCCGUUCAAACUUUCACGAUUCCGGUUUUGGGAACCUUCUAGAGGUUUCCACCCGUUUUUUCUGGUUUUGGGAAACUUCUAGAAGGUUCCCCGAACCAUUUUUUUUUAUUUUUCUGUUUUUGUUUCUUUCUUUCUAUUUUUGUUUGAAAAUUGUUCUGAAUUUUUAAAAAAUGUUCUGGAAUUUGAAAAAAUGUUCCGGAAUUUGAAAAAAUGUUCAAGAUUUUGAAAAAAUGUCCCGAAUUUGUAAAAAUGAUUUGGAAUUUGAAAAAAUGUUCCAGAAUUUGGAAAAAUGUUCCAGAAUUUGUGAAAAUGUUCCGGAUUUUGAAAAAAUGUUCCGAAAUCUGAAAAAAUGUUCCGGAAUUUAAAACUGUUCAAGAUUUUGAAACAAUGUUCUCGAAUUUGAAAAAAAAAAUCAGAAUUUGAAAAAAUGUUCCGGAAUUUUAAAAAAUGUUCAAGAUUUGGAAAAAAUGUUCCGAAAUUUGUAAAAAUGUUCCGGAUUUUGAAAAAAUGUCCCAAAAUUUAAGAAAUGUUCCGGAAUUUAAAAUUGUUCAAGAAAAAUGUUCCGGAAUUUGUUAAAAUGUUCCGGAAUUUGAAAAAUGCUACGGAAUUUGAAAAAUGUUCCAGAAUUUGAAAAAAUGUUCCGGAAUUUGAAAAAAUGUUCCGGAAUUUGAAAAAAUGUUCAAGAUUUUGAAAAAAUGUCCCGAAUUUGUAAAAAUGAUUUGGAAUUUGAAAAAAUGUUCCAGAAUUUGGAAAAAUGUUCCAGAAUUUGUGAAAAUGUUCCGGAUUUUGAAAAAAUGUUCCGAAAUCUGAAAAAAUGUUCCGGAAUUUAAAACUGUUCAAGAUUUUGAAACAAUGUUCUCGAAUUUGAAAAAAAAAAUCAGAAUUUGAAAAAAUGUUCCGGAAUUUUAAAAAAUGUUCAAGAUUUGGAAAAAAUGUUCCGAAAUUUGUAAAAAUGUUCCGGAUUUUGAAAAAAUGUCCCAGAAUUUAAGAAAUGUUCCGGAAUUUAAAAUUGUUCAAGAAAAAUGUUCCGGAAUUUGUUAAAAUGUUCCGGAAUUUGAAAAAAUGCUACGGAAUUUGAAAACUGUUCCAGAAUUUGAAAAAAUGUGAAAAGGAAACAAACAAAUUUGGGAACAUUUUUUCGAGAAAAGGCUGGAAUUUGAAAUAAUCGCGGCAUUACAAAACUGUUCCUAAUUUUGAAUAAAAAAAUUGAAAUCCAAGUUUCAACCUCCGCUAUAUAUUGUUAUAUUAUUCUGCGCCUUUUACGACAAGAAGCUGAUAUUGGUUUGUUGGCUAAAUUCUGUUACUCUCGAUUCUUUUUUGCCGCCUGGUAGAAAAACAGCAGAAGCACGGUCAGUGGGCCGGCCCAGGCAGAGAGCUGCCUGUGCGAAAUCGGGUCAUCCUGCCGCAGAAUGCGGCGUAUAGGAGCUCCCCAAUCAGCCACCACGCGUGUGCUUUUGCUCCCUGUGACGGGCCGCUCGGCGUUAACACUAGUAUCAUGGGCUGUUGUUGUUGGCCCAUGUUUCCCAGUUCCAUUGGCCCAAGACUCGGAAUCUUUCGGCUGCGGGCCCGUGGGGGACAGAGCGCUUUCGCCUUUUUCAUUACUCUAAAAAAAACAAUUAGCCUUUCCAUUAUUCGAUCCUUUUUGCCCCAACCCCCUUGUCUUCUUCCUCGCCGCUCCUCCCCUUAAACCCUCACCCAUGGCGGCCCGCCCAUGCUCCCGCGGCUACCCGAAACUCCGGCGUCUCCUCUCCUCUGCUGCCGCGGCGAACCUUCCCCUCCUGUGCUCCUAAAGGCGCAUGGCCGAGGCCCUCUCCCUGGUAGAUUUGGACGAAUGCCACCGGCCGGCCACCCCGUCUCCUCUCCCCAGCGAGAUCUAGGCUGCAUCCCCAAAGGCAACUGAAUACACUCCCUCUCCAACCCAAGCUAGCUUUGAUCCGGCGCCGUGCGGCCGGCGUCCCCAACAAUCGCGGCUUCCAACCCGUCGCCGCCCUCCCGCACGCUUGCGCCCUCCGAGAGCGUCGCGCGGCCCUGCAUUUCGUUUCGGG